CCUGGCUCACGAUGAACGCUGGCGGCGCGCCUAACACAUGCAAGUCGAACGAGCGAGAGAGAGCUUGCUUUCUCGAGCGAGUGGCGAACGGGUGAGUAACGCGUGAGGAACCUGCCUCAAAGAGGGGGACAACAGUUGGAAACGACUGCUAAUACCGCAUAAGCCCACAGCUCGGCAUCGAGCAGAGGGAAAAGGAGCAAUCCGCUUUGAGAUGGCCUCGCGUCCGAUUAGCUAGUUGGUGAGGUAAUGGCCCACCAAGGCGACGAUCGGUAGCCGGACUGAGAGGUUGAACGGCCACAUUGGGACUGAGACACGGCCCAGACUCCUACGGGAGGCAGCAGUGGGGAAUAUUGCACAAUGGGGGAAACCCUGAUGCAGCGACGCCGCGUGGAGGAAGAAGGUCUUCGGAUUGUAAACUCCUGUUGUUGAGGAAGAUAAUGACGGUACUCAACAAGGAAGUGACGGCUAACUACGUGCCAGCAGCCGCGGUAAAACGUAGGUCACAAGCGUUGUCCGGAAUUACUGGGUGUAAAGGGAGCGCAGGCGGGAAGACAAGUUGGAAGUGAAAUCCAUGGGCUCAACCCAUGAACUGCUUUCAAAACUGUUUUUCUUGAGUAGUGCAGAGGUAGGCGGAAUUCCCGGUGUAGCGGUGGAAUGCGUAGAUAUCGGGAGAACACCAGUGGCGAAGGCGGCCUACUGGGCACCAACUGACGCUGAGGCUCGAAAGUGUGGGUAGCAAACAGGAUUAGAUACCCUGGCAGUCCACACUGUAAACGAUGAUUACUAAGUGUUGGAGGAUUGACCCCUUCAGUGCCGCAGUUAACACAAUAAGUAAUCCACCUGGGGAGUACGACCGCAAGGUUGAAACUCAAAGGAAUUGACGGGGGCCCGCACAAGCAGUGGAGUAUGUGGUUUAAUUCGACGCAACGCGAAGAACCUUACCAAGUCUUGACAUCCCUUGACGAUGCUGGAAACAGUAUUUCUCUUCGGAGCAAGGAGACAGGUGGUGCAUGGUUGUCGUCAGCUCGUGUCGUGAGAUGUUGGGUUAAGUCCCGCAACGAGCGCAACCCUUAUGGUCAGUUACUACGCAAGAGGACUCUGGCCAGACUGCCGUUGACAAAACGGAGGAAGGUGGGGAUGACGUCAAAUCAUCAUGCCCUUUAUGACUUGGGCUACACACGUACUACAAUGGCGUUAAACAAAGAGAAGCAAGACCGCGAGGUGGAGCAAAACUCAGAAACAACGUCCCAGUUCGGACUGCAGGCUGCAACUCGCCUGCACGAAGUCGGAAUUGCUAGUAAUCGCAGAUCAGCAUGCUGCGGUGAAUACGUUCCCGGGCCUUGCACACACCGC
rnacentral:rRNA from 1 species